rnacentral:rRNA from 1 species
GCGAACGCUGGCGGCAGGCCUAACACAUGCAAGUCGAACGAACUCUUCGGAGUUAGUGGCGGACGGGUGAGUGACACGUGGGAACGUGCCUUUUGGUUCGGAAUAACUCAGGGAAACUUGUGCUAAUACCGAAUGUGCCCUUCGGGGGAAAGAUUUAUCGCCAUUAGAGCGGCCCGCGUCUGAUUAGCUAGUUGGUGAGGUAACGGCUCACCAAGGCGACGAUCAGUAGCUGGUCUGAGAGGAUGACCAGCCACACUGGGACUGAGACACGGCCCAGACUCCUACGGGAGGCAGCAGUGGGGAAUCUUGCGCAAUGGGCGAAAGCCUGACGCAGCCAUGCCGCGUGAAUGAUGAAGGUCUUAGGAUUGUAAAAUUCUUUCACCGGGGACGAUAAUGACGGUACCCGGAGAAGAAGCCCCGGCUAACUUCGUG